ACCAUUCCUCAGCCUCUUGGCUAUGAUCAAGUAUAGUAUCGGUUCUUGUCAGUUUAUACGUCCUCUAUCUGACGACAAUAUGAUAAAUGGAGUUUUGGAGCAGGGAGUUGGAAUAAAAGCUAGCCCCGUCCACUUGGCGCACUGACUUGGUAUUGCAGCACCUCCAGAAGUGGUGUACCCACU